GCUGGGUGUGGUGGUGUGCAUCUGUUGUCCCAGCUACCUAGGAGGCUGAUACAGGAGGCAUACUUGAGCUCAGGAGUUUAGGGCAAUAAUGAGAUAAUAUAAUGAGAUUCUGCCACUU
rnacentral:sRNA from 1 species